GGGUUAGUCCGCACGAGCGCACCCUCAUUUUUAGUUGCCUUAUGGAACUCUAAAAAGACUGCCGGUCAUAAACCGGAGGAAGGCGGGGAUGACGUCAAGUCAGCAUGCCCCUUACACCCUGGGCUACACACGUGCUACAAUGGGCGAGACAAUGAGAUGCAAGCCUGCGAAGGCUAGCUAAUCUAUAAACUCGCUCUAAGUUCGGAUUGUAGGCUGCAACUCGCCUGCAUGAAGUUGGAAUCGCUAGUAAUCGCUGGUCAGCUUACCACGGGGAAAUUCUUUCCGGGGCUUUGACACACCCGCCCUCACACCCUGGAAACUGGGUAUGGCCCAAUUCCUUACCUUUACCCUUUUUAGGAGGAGACCCCAAGGGGAAAUAUUGACUGGGGGG
rnacentral:rRNA from 1 species